rnacentral:rRNA from 1 species
GCUGGCGGCGUGCUUAACACAUGCAAGUCGAACGAACCUUCGGGUUAGUGGCGGACGGGUGAGUAACGCGUGAGAAUCUGCCCUCAGGAGGGGGAUAACGGUUGGAAACGACCGCUAAUACCCCAUAUGCCUACUGGUGAAAUGAAUUUCGCCUGAGGAUGAGCUCGCGUCUGAUUAGCUAGUUGGUGUGGUAAUGGCUCACCAAGGCUUCGAUCAGUAGCUGGUCUGAGAGGAUGAUCAGCCACACUGGGACUGAGACACGGCCCAGACUCCUACGGGAGGCAGCAGUGGGGAAUUUUCCGCAAUGGGCGAAAGCCUGACGGAGCAACGCCGCGUGAGGGACGAAGGCCUCUGGGCUGUAAACCUCUUUUCUCAAGGAAGAAGAUAUGACGGUACUUGAGGAAUAAGCCACGGCUAAUUCCGUGCCAGCAGCCGCGGUAAUACGGGAGUGGCAAGCGUUAUCCGGAAUUAUUGGGCGUAAAGCGUCCGCAGGCGGCUUUUCAAGUCUGCUGUUAAAGCGUGGAGCUUAACUCCAUCAUGGCAGUGGAAACUGAAAGGCUUGAGUAUGGUAGGGGCAGAGGGAAUUCCCGGUGUAGCGGUGAAAUGCGUAGAUAUCGGGAAGAACACCAGUGGCGAAGGCGCUCUGCUGGGCCAUUACUGACGCUCAUGGACGAAAGCCAGGGGAGCGAAAGGGAUUAGAUACCCCUGUAGUCCUGGCCGUAAACGAUGAACACUAGGUGUCGGGGGAAUCGACCCCUUCGGUGUCGUAGCUAACGCGUUAAGUGUUCCGCCUGGGGAGUACGCACGCAAGUGUGACUCAAAUGGAUGCCG